UACAGAGGUCUCAAGCGUUGUUCGGAUUCAUUGGGCGUAAAGGGUGCGUAGGUGGCGAGGCAAGUCAGAUGUGAAAUCCCGGGGCUCAACCCCGGAACUGCAUUUGAAACUGCCUUGCUCGAGUACUGGAGAGGAGACUGGAAUUUACGGUGUAGCAGUGAAAUGCGUAGAUAUCGUAAGGAAGACCAGUGGCGAAGGCGAGUCUCUGGACAGUUACUGACACUGAGACGCGAAAGCGUGGGGAGCGAACAGG
rnacentral:rRNA from 1 species